rnacentral:rRNA from 1 species
AUUGAACGCUGGCGGCAGGCCUAACACAUGCAAGUCGAACGCGUGGCGGACGGGUGAGUUAUGUCUGGGAAACUGCCUGAUGGAGGGGGAUCACUACUGGAAACUGUAUCUAAUCCCGUAUAACAUCGGGUGCGCCCAUAUGGGCUUAGCUAGUAGGUGGGGUAAAGGCUCACCUAGGCGACGAUCCCUAGCUGGUCUGAGAGGAUGACCAGCCACACUGGAACUGAGACACGGUCCAGACUCCUACGGGAGGCAGCAGUGGGGAAUAUUGCACAAUGGGCGCAAGCCUGAUGCAGCCAUGCCGCGUGUAUGAAGAAGGCCUUCGGGUUGUAAAGUACUUUCAGCGGGGAGGCGUUACCCGCAGAAGAAGCACCGGCUAACUCCGUGCCAGCAGCCGCGGUAAUAC